GUGGGUAUAGUCAGUGGUAGAGUACGGUGCUUAGCAUGCACAAAGUCCUGGGUUCAAUCCCCAGUACCUCCA
rnacentral:tRNA from 1 species